AGACGCACUCGUGUCAGCAGCCGCGGUAAUACGAAUGUGGCGAGCGUUGUUCGGAAUCACUGGGCGUAAAGAGUACGUAGGCGGUUUAACAAGUCAGGAGUGAAAUCCCCAGGCUCAACCUGGGAACUGCUCUUGAAACUGUUAGACUAGAAGCUCGGAGAGGUUGGCGGAAUUCUCAGUGUAGAGGUGAAAUUCGCAGAUAUUGAGAGGAACACCAGUGGCGUAAGCGGCCAACUGGACGAGUAUUGACGCUGAGGUACGAAAGCGUGGGGAUCAAACAGGAUUAGAUACCCUGGUAGUCCACGCCAUAAACGAUGUGUGCUAGCUGGUGGGUAGCUUAGCUAUUCGCUGGCGCAGCUAACGCAUUAAGCACACCGCCUGGGAAGUACGGCCGCAAGGUUAAAACUCAAAUGAAUUGGCGGG
rnacentral:rRNA from 1 species